rnacentral:misc_RNA from 1 species
CAAAAGUUUCUGGAAGGGAACCUGUGUAAGGAUCAUUAGAGAAUUAUCGGCGAGUGUUGCCUCUGGGUCCUUCGGGGGCAUGUGCAGGCCUGAGCUCUUAAAACCCACCUCACACCUAUGAACCCGCCGUGGGCCGGACAAGGGGUUCGCCUGUAUAUAAGUUGCAUGUACUUACAGCAUGUCAUAUUGUGUGUUUAGCAACGCAAUCAAAGCAACUUUCAACAAUGUGUCUUGAGGCUCCAGCAUCGAUCAAAAUCGCAGAAAAAUUCGAUAAGCCAUGUGCACGCAGAGUUUCAGUGAAUCAUGCAAUCUUUGAACGCACCUUGCGCUCCUUGGUAUUCCAAGGAGCAUGCCGGUUUGAGUGUCAUUCAAAUCAUCAACCCCGUCGUCUUUGGUCGGUCGGAGGCGGGACUUUGGAGAGUUAUGGCCCCCGAGGUCGGCUCCUCUUUAUAUGCAACAGCGGAGAGGCCAUAAACAUUUCCGGUCGGCGUAGUGCCUCUGUUGGGUCGCAGGGUCUUCUGGGCCUCGCUGCCAUUCUCUUCGGUCUUCUUCCCCUUUGACUCAAUCAGGUAGGACUACCAGGACG